GACGAACGCUGGCGGCGUGCUUAACACAUGCACGUCGAACGGAAAGGCCCUGCUUUUGUGGGGUGCUCGAGUGGCGAACGGGUGAGUAACACGUGAGUAACCUGCCCUUGACUUUGGGAUAACUUCAGGAAACUGGGGCUAAUACCGGAUAGGAGCUCCUGCUGCAUGGUGGGGGUUGGAAAGUUUCGGCGGUUGGGGAUGGACUCGCGGCUUAUCAGCUUGUUGGUGGGGUAGUGGCUUACCAAGGCUUUGACGGGUAGCCGGCCUGAGAGGGUGACCGGCCACAUUGGGACGGAGAUACGGCCCAGACUCCUACGGGAGGCAGCAGUGGGGAAUAUUGCACAAUGGGCGGAAGCCUGAUGCAGCAACGCCGCGUGCGGGAUAAAGGCCUUCGGGUUGUAAACCGCUAGCGCCUGUGACGAAGCGUGAGGGAGGGUAAUGGGUGUAGAAUGACCGGCUAACUACGUG
rnacentral:rRNA from 1 species